UACGUAGGAGGCAAGCGUUGUCCGGAAUUACUGGGUGUAAAGCGCGUGUAGGCGGCAGGCCAAGUCUGUGGUGAAAUCGCUCGGCUCAACUGGGCGGGGUCCAUGGAAACUGGUCAGCUGGAGGACGGUAGAGGUGAGUGGAAUUCCCGGUGUAGGGGUGAAAUCCGUAGAUAUCGGGAGGAAUACCAGCGGCGAAGGCGGCCUUCUGGACGGUGACUGACGCUGAGACGCGCAAAGCGUGGGAAGGCAACAGGG
rnacentral:rRNA from 1 species